UUUGUGCUCGCCAGAUCUAGGCGUGGCUUGGCAGUGGUUGGGGCAGGAGGCGCCGAGCGGCGGGUAGGAGACGGAGUCCCGGUGGAGGCGGAGGCGUCGUGUCGACAGCGGGAAGGUGACGCACAGUGGUUGGUUGAUGCAGAGGUGGCCGGAGUCACAUGUGGAAGCGAGGAGGUGAAGGUCACCAGAGUUGGCGUUGUGAGGCGGCUUGCUGCAUUUGGAGGUGCUGCUCCGCGCUACAGGCUACUCCGACCGGGGUGGAAGAGGUGCUGCAGGUUCAAUUCAACCCGCCCUUGACCGAAGGGGAGUGCCGCCUUCAACUCGACCCUUCGACGAUGUGCCAACGAUUCUAGCAAUGGGCGACGAUGAGGCCACGGAUCGAGUUUUUCCAGGCAAAGCAAAGGAAGGGUCACUGCAUAUAGUGUUGGUGUUCCUUGUAUUUGUAUUGACACAAUCCGGGAACUGGUAUAUCUCCAUUAGGUUUACCUCAAUCACAUAUGCUGUGCGUACUUUUUAAAUGUGACAGUUCAUAGAUAUUACUGAUGGUAGGUUAUUGGUUUUUCUUUACAGCUAGAUAUUCUUCAAGUAUUCUUUUAGGUUGUUGGGAUACAGCUAGCAAGUUCAAAGAAUAUGUAGGUUCUUUCCGGGGGUUCUGUGGAUCGAGGUGCUUGUUUGCACAUGAUUUUGCCUUUUUUUAAAAAAAAUUCUGGUAGAUUAUGUAGAAUCAUGGAUCGAUAAUGAUUGCAUUGCUUGAAUUAAGGGGAAGGGAUCAAAGGGUUGCUCCAUGUGCCGAUGUGGUACUGGGUUCUAGGCACAGAUCCACCUCCUAAGCCGGAGAAAAUAAGGUGCACCAAAGCCAGGAUCAGUGCCUGUAGUAUUGGUUUUUCCUUCUAUUGACAAUAUAAGAACUGGCAUAUAUCGAUCAGGUCUUUGCAAUGUACGAGUGGGCAACUUGAAAGGACUGAAAUAAUAAGCAAUUUUAUCUCAUGCUAGAAAUUGUAGUAUAUUGAAGAAGCUAACAGCAUGUACAUAGCUUAUAAUGAUGCUCUAGUUAUUUUUCCCUAAAUCUGCAUCACAUUAGUUGAAUAUGUAAGAAACUUUUUAUGAUGGUUUUAGAAGGAUUUGUACAUGGAUCU